GAGGGGUUUUCUACAUGAAUGCUGCUGAUAAAAACUGUCCAUAGGAACUGGAUAAAAAAUGAACUAAUGGAAAUGCAUCUAUCCUGCACCUAUUACUUUUCAUGCAAGUGAAAAUCUGUUAAUAUAUGCUUGAAAGGCCAUUGAGAAAGACACACAAGUUGAAACACGUCUGGCCAUAAUAUACGCAUCUUGCUCCAUUGAGAUACAGAUUUAAAGCCUACAAGCAAGAGUACCAGCAGUUUAUAUAAAAAGCACUAUAGCAGCUAUGUAUGUAUUCAUUCAUGAGUAUGGACUAAAGACUUAGACACUUUUGAUUCAGGAGAUACUCUUCCUGUCUCUUUACAAACCAUAUAUGUGCGAAUUUAGUGUUUGUUAUUGUAUGUAUUA